rnacentral:rRNA from 1 species
GCUUGUCUCAAAGAUUAAGCCAUGCAUGUCUAAGUAUAAGCAAUUAUACCGUGAAACUGCGAAUGGCUCAUUAAAUCAGUUAUCGUUUAUUUGAUAGUACCUUACUACAUGGAUAACCGUGGUAAUUCUAGAGCUAAUACAUGCUAAAAACCCCAACUUCGGGAGGGGUGUAUUUAUUAGAUAAAAAACCAAUGCCCUCCGGGGCUGCUUGGUGAUUCAUAAUAACUUCUCAGAUCGCAUGGCCUUGCGCCGGCGACGGUUCAUUCAAAUUUCUGCCCUAUCAACUUUCGAUGGUACGGUAGUGGCCUACCAUGGUUUCAACGGGUAACGGGGAAUUAGGGUUUGAUUCCGGAGAGGGAGCCUGAGAAACGGCUACCACAUCCAAGGAAGGCAGCAGG